AUGGUCAAGUCUAAGCAGGAUGUUUUGAAGCAUUUCGGUAGUUGGUCAAGUCUACUUGUUGCAACUUGCUGCUCUUAGUGAAUCCACCUAGAUAAAGGCUCUUAAGCUUCCUCUGCCUUUUGUGAUUGUGGGUUGCUUUUCUUUUAUAUGAUAGUAGGACCAAAACUCAAGGGGAACCUCGCCGAUGGCUCUUACAUGCUGCCUUUACUUUUGAAAGUCCUAUGAUUCCUUGCUGAAUAAGAUCCUGCUUCAGUUAGAUAGUAACAUCUAGGACGCAUUCUCUUUUGCUCUGUGCCUCAAAUGGUCAAGGGCUGAGAUUCCCAUUGUGGUGAUCUCAGUUUCAAUGAUCAACUGGUAUCUGCAAUGGCUCUUUCUUACAGAUUGAAUUACACAGCAUGUACUUCUGAAAACUUUGUUGAAUCAAAGCCUGUUUCAAUUGGAGGACAUGUUCAGGAUGGCGUGCUACAGGCACACUUUUUUUUCUUCUUAGUGUCUAAAACCUGAUAAAACCGUUGCAGGAGCUUGUGCACUAUAUCAGCCAGCCUUUCCAGUCAUGAUAUCAGGGAUUACAAAUUAUCAUGCUAUGUUACUGUGAAUUUUCUCAUCUUUUCCAGACUUGUAAUCUUUGAAAUUAGCUCUACCUUUUUUUUCUGGCAACUAGCUGACACUUAAUCGCAGAAAGUUGUAUUAUAAUUGCUCUUAUCUUUGUCAGCUGACCUCUACAAACUGCUCGCCAAAAUUUCCUUCCCCAACUUAUGUAAUAUCUCUCAAAAAACCAUCAUCACUGUGAAUUUCUGGUGAUCAUCAUGGGGAGUUCGGUUGGCAAUAGAGCUUGUAUUGGCGAAACAGAUUGACCAUGAGAAGCUGACAAAUUUUCAGGUUGUCCCUCAGGUUAGCAAUUUUGUUUUAAAUGGAUAAAUAGA